rnacentral:rRNA from 1 species
CCUACGGGUGGCUGCAGUGGGGAAUAUUGCACAAUGGGGGGAACCCUGAUGCAGCGACGCCGCGCGAGUGAAGACGUAUUUCGGGAUGUAAAGCUCUAUCAGCAGGGGAGAAAAUGACGGUACCUGACUAAGAAGCCCCGGCUAACUAAGUGCCAGCAGCCGCGGUAAUACGUAGGGGGCAAGCGUUAUCCGGCUUUACUGGGUGUAAAGGGAGCGUAGACGGCAGAGCAGGUCUGAAGUGAAAGCCCGCGGCCCAACGGCGGGACUGCGUUGGAAACUGCCCGGCUAGAGUGCUUGAGAGGUAAGCGGAAUGCCUAGUGUAGCGGUGAAAUGCGUAGAUAUUAGGAGGAACACCAGUGGCGAAGGCGGCUUACCGGACAGCAACUGACGCUGAGGCUCGAAAGCGUGGGGAGCAAACAGGAUUAGAUACCCCUGUAGUC